rnacentral:rRNA from 1 species
AGUGAACGCUGGCGGUAGGCCUAACACAUGCAAGUCGAACGGCAGCACAGGAGAGCUUGCUCUCUGGGUGGCGAGUGGCGGACGGGUGAGGAAUACAUCGGAAUCUACUCUGUCGUGGGGGAUAACGUAGGGAAACUUACGCUAAUACCGCAUACGACCUACGGGUGAAAGCAGGGGACCUUCGGGCCUUGCGCGAUUGAAUGAGCCGAUGUCGGAUUAGCUAGUUGGCGGGGUAAAGGCCCACCAAGGCGACGAUCCGUAGCUGGUCUGAGAGGAUGAUCAGCCACACGGGAACUGAGACACGGUCCAGACUCCUACGGGAGGCAGCAGUGGGGAAUAUUGGACAAUGGGCGCAAGCCUGAUCCAGCCAUACCGCGUGGGUGAAGAAGGCCUUCGGGUUGUAAAGCCCUUUUGUUGGGAAAGAAAUCCAGCUGGCUAAUACCCGGUUGGGAUGACGGUACCCAAAGAAUAAGCACCGGUUAACUUCGUGCCAGCCGCCGCUGUAA